rnacentral:lncRNA from 1 species
GCACUGAAAGCAAAGACAGAAGCUCCUGCCCCUCAUAAAACUGAAGCCAAGUGAAUGCCUUGAAAGCCAAGAAGGCAGUGCUGACAGGGUCCACAACCACAGAAAGAAGCAGAUCUGCACAUCACCACCUUCCAGCCUAAUACCCCACAACGAGAACACACCAUCAUCAAAUUCCCCCAAUCACUAAGCCAGACAAUAAGAAGAUUGAAGACGUACUAUGUUCACUGUGGAUGUCAAGGCCAAUUAGCACAGAUCAAACAAGCUAUGAAGAAAGUCUGUGAUUCUGAUGUGGCCAAAGUCAGUACCUUGAUAAAACCUAAUGGAGAAAAGAAGGUGUAUGUUCAGUUGGCUCCUGAUUAUGAUGCUCUGGGUGUUGCCAACAAAAUUGGGAUCAUCUAA